CUGAGUGUAUAACAGAGCUCCACAGCAAUAAUACUCCCAGUAAUGUGUCUGAGUGUAUAACAGAGCUCCACAGCAAUAAUACUCCCAGUAAUGUGACUGAGUGUAUAACAGAGCUCCACAGUAAUAAUACUCCCAGUAAUGUGUCUGAGUGUAUAACAGAGCUCCACAGCAAUAAUACUUCCAGUAAUGUGUCUGAGUGUAUAACAGAGCUCCACAGCAAUAAUACUCCCAGUAAUGUGUCUGAGAG